GAGCGACCACCCCCUUAUAGGGAGGUUGGGGAGUAGGGGUGGAACAAAACAGUUCCCCUAAACUGACGGAGGAGAGAGAGAGGGAAGAGAGGGAAGGAGAGUGAACAACCACCCAGAACCACAGAUACUUACAAGCUGUGUGACCUUGAGCAGAAAGAUGCAGUGUGCAGUGGUGUCUGUAAGAGGAAGAAACAAAACAACCUAGAGAUGGGUCCCUAGGGGAGAUGGAUGGAGGCAUUGUGUCAAAACCAUUCCACGAAAUGCUUCCCAGGAGUUAAAUGAACCAGAGCUGCAAGCAUAGACAUGAAUAAAUCUCAUAAACUGAAGAAAAAAGGUCAGUGGCAGAAAGAUACGUGGAUGUCAUGUGCUGCCCUGUGUAUAAAGUUUUUAAACCUGCAAAAGAAUAUUUUCCCAAAUAAGUGUGUGGAUGCACAAAUAUGCAACAAAAGAAUAAAAAGGUGUCUCAGAAUAUUAACUGUACAAGAGUGGUUCCCUGGGGGAAGGAGGGAGGGAGGAACAUGACAUCUGCGAAGGGACCCCACAACCCAGUCAAGAAGGUUUUAUUUCUCUAAAUAAAU
rnacentral:lncRNA from 1 species